CGAUUAGUUAGUUGGCCAAGGUGUGGGGGUCGCAGGCGUCGACGGCGCAGGCGAGCACGUCCUUGUAGCCCCUGGUGAUGGAGAACGCGUCGAGCACCUCGCCGUCGUCGCUGCGGAUGAACUCGAGCUCCAGCCGCGAGUGGUCGCGCGCCGUGAGCUUCACGUACCCGUAGCUCUCGCUCCUCGCCGCGCUCCACUGCGGCCACUCGCCGCCGGCGUACCCCCUCAGCCUGGCGCCGCCCGUGCCGGCCACGACGUGGAUCGUGCCGCCCAGCGCGCCGGUGUACGCCGCCGCCGGCGAGCUCCCGUUCCCGCCGCCCCCCGCCGCCGCCGGCGCCGCCGUGCAGGUGUUCUCGUAGACCGGGCACGUCCGCUCGUAGUUGUGGACGUGGCCGUAGACGGCGAGGUCGACGCGGUGCUUCUGCCACAGCGGCUGCAGCGUCCGCCCCAUGGGCUCCGAGAAGGAGCCCUCCCUGGCGUAGUACUCGUUCGACGAGUAGCCGAGCGGGCGGUGCGCGGCGAACACCAGCCACGGCUGGUGCUUACGGUCCGCCGCCGCGAAGCAACCGUCCAGGAACGCGUGCUGCGCCGUGCCGGGGCGCCAGUCGUGCUCCGUGUCGCCGACGCAGAAGCGGAACAUGCCGUGGUCGGCGGCGUACCAGGGCUUGCCGCGGUUCGCCGCCGCCGGCGCGCGGAAGUAGGUCUCCGCGGGGACGCCGCACUCGCCGUGCGAGUCGUCGCCGCCGUAGAAGCCGCCGGUGUCCCGGGACGUGCGCUCGUGGUUGCCGCUCGCCACCAUGUAGGGCACCCGGGAGGCGACCGGCGAGAUCUGCGCCGUGAACUGGUCCCACUGCGCCAGGAAGCCAUUGGCGUAGGAGAGGUCGCCGAUGUGGAAGACGGCGUCGUAGUUGGGCAGGUCCUUGAUCAGCCGCUCCGUCGUCACCUGCGCCCCCGGCUGAAAUCCGGCGAGCUCAUUGCUCCCAUCACUUUGCCCCUUCCCAUGUCUCCGAAAAUGACAAUUCGCUGGAGUGAAGCUUGUCCAGGGGAAGGUGAUGCACGGAAGGUGGACGACUUGCCCCAUACUAUAGUUCCGUCUAGUAGCUCGUGCCCAAUCUGAUAAGAAUAC
rnacentral:sRNA from 1 species